rnacentral:rRNA from 1 species
GAUGAACGCUGGCGGCGUGCCUAACACAUGCAAGUCAAGGAGAAGGUAACCUUCGGGGAACCGGAUACUGGCGCACGGGUGAGUAACACGUGGAUUAUCUACCCUUUACACAGACAUAACUCAGGGAAACUUGAGCUAAUAUCUGAUGAGGCCUCCGGGUCAAAGCUUCGGCGGUAAAGGAUGAGUCUGCGUCUGAUUAGCUAGUUGGUAAGGUAAUGGCUUACCAAGGCGACGAUCAGUAACUGGUCUGAGAGGACGAUCAGUCACACUGGAACUGAGACACGGUCCAGACUCCUACGGGAGGCAGCAGUGAGGAAUUUGGACAAUGGGGGAAACCCUGAUCCAGCGACGCCGCGUGUGGGAUGAAUGGGUUAUGCCCUGUAAACCACUGUCAGCAGAGAAGAAAAGGUUCCUUUGGAACCCGGGACUGUAUCUGCAGAGGAAGGACCGGCUAACUACGUG